UGGGUUGGUUAGAUUUUUCUUUUCGUCGAUCUUUGAAAGUUUGACGUCACCUUAACAGAUGUUUUGAAUAAGAUGGUAGCAAUGCAAAAUGCUUAGUAAGCUAAUGGAACUUCGGCUUUUUGGUAUGAGCUAUGGCUCUGGUGCUAUACAAUACAGCAGAACCAUCAUUGGAGAGUACCACUUCUAGCUUGCCAGUGAACUUCUACGAUCACAUAGCUUUCUUGCA
rnacentral:lncRNA from 1 species